UACGGAGGGGGCGAGCGUUAUUCGGAAUUAUUGGGCGUAAAGGGCGCGUAGGCGGCUGUACAAGUCAAAGGUGAAAUCCCUCGGCUCAACUGAGGAACUGCCUUUGAAACUGUACGGCUUGAGGCCGGGAGGGGGUAGCGGAAUUCCCAGUGUAGCGGUGAAAUGCGUAGAUACUGGGAGGAACACCAGUGGCGAAGGCGGCUACCUGGACCGGUACUGACGCUGAGGCGCGAAAGCCUGGGUAGCAAACAGG
rnacentral:rRNA from 1 species